AGCUUUCUUAUUUAACGUACACCGGAACGUCUCUGCUUCACAAAAAUAGGUGGCAAUGAAGACGUGUACUGUUAAUACCUUUAAAUCACCUUGGUUUUCAAACGAGUUCAAGAGAACGUUAAGUCGUAUAAAAGUUGGGAAAGUGGCUCAAUGUAAUCAAUUGGGAAGUUUUUCGAAAAUGUGUAGAUCGAAAUAAGAAUUCUUUGCUAUUUUCAUUGAUUUUUCAAUCAAAAGAUAAGGAUUAAUAGAAGCAUUUUGGGGGCACUUGGGGGCGAGAGGUGAAACUUUUAGUUUAGUCGUAGGACUAACUUAAGCGAAAGUAUUUGCCAGAGAUGUUUCAAUUAAUCAAGAACGAAAGUUAGAUGUUCUAAGGCGAGCAGGUACCGUCCUAGCUACAAACGAUGCUAGCUAGCAACGAGGUGUAGCUACUGAUAUGGCUCUCUCAGUCGCUUUCCGAGAAAUCAAAGCUUUUGGGCC
rnacentral:ncRNA from 1 species